rnacentral:lncRNA from 10 species
AUUCAACACAAGAGGGUCUCCCUGUCCAGCCUUUCCCUCCCUCCCUCCAUCAGGCCUCAGCUGAGCCCAAAGUGGAAACCCCGUUUCCUCUGGGAUCUGAGAAGUCCCAAUUCUUUCUUCCAACUCUGAAUCCCAGGCUUAACUAGACAAUGGCUUUUGGAUCCUUGUGCCAGCCCUUCCACCCCCCCAUACACACAUAAGUCCAGCCAAGCACCCCUCAGAAUUCAAGCCCCUCCCCUAAGACUCACAAUCAGAAGGGACUGCCUAUGCCUCUGAGCCCCACCCCAAAACCAAGCACGGCCUGGAAGAAAGCCAUCCUGGAGCAUGCACACACACACACAUACGCAAGCACACACAGCCAGACGUGCAGAAACAGGAAUGGUUACACAUACACGGUCCCGGAGCACAGACCUGCCCGUGGACACACAGCCAGCCAGACUCGCAAACAGGUCCUUGCAGCUACACACAAACCAUCCUCAACCGUGAGCCCGCACACCACGGCAUGCGUGUUCAUGCAUGUGCACAAACAUCCACAGAGCCCUGCUCCCUUGGUCUUUAGGAGCAUCUGAGACCCCAACUGAGGCGGGACUCGGCCCCUGCCCUAUGGCACUCACACUCCUUGGACAUGCCCACUUCAAAGCACUUCUGCAGUCGGCAGUACUGGCAGCGGUUCCGGGUCACCUUGUUGAUGAUGCAGUUCUUGUCCCGGUGACACGUGUACACCAUGUUCUUCUGGAUGCUGCGGCGGAAGAAGCCCUGGGGAAAAGACCUCAGGGCUGCUGGUGAGUCAGAAAUAGGAAGACAUGGGGCUAACUGGGCAACAGCCAGGGAUCUGGAACCCACACCCCUGAACUCAGAACACAGGAAAAGAAGACAAGCCCGAAGAGGCCAGGAGGCAGAUACACGGGCUGGCCAGAGAAAUGGAGGCGAACACACACAUGCACUCAGGAGCAAGGCAGAAAGAUGUGAGUUCACCAAGACAGGUGUGCACCGACCCAUCACAGACACAGACCCAGGCUGGCCAGGGGCUCCACAUACAGGCUGACCAGAGGGACAGGCGGACAGAGGAAGAACAGACCAGGAACAACCAGACAGGACAGGCAGACACACAGCCUGAGUCCUUGUGCUUUGCCCUUGACCUCCGUCCCACAUCUGGGGAUAGCUACUCCAGGCUGAAGAGCAGCCCAGAGCUGCAAGGCCCAAAGCUGUGAAGAUUCUGAGCCCCAAUCUCUGGAGGAAGAAACGCACACAGAGGCUCAGGCCCCAGGGAAAGGAGGAGAAGCCGGGCGCAGGGCUGCUAAGGACCAGGUAUACCUGCACCCUGGCACCUAACGUGAGGAUGGGGAAAUCCAGCCAGACACUGGGGAGCCCACAGCCCGGGCACCUGAAGGGGAAGCUAAGGCAGGGUGCCUGCUCCUAACUGCCUCCUGCCAGGCUGCCAUGGUGAGGUUCAGGCAGGGCCGCCGGGGGAGGCCUCCUGGGUCCCCAGCCAAGAGCCAGUCGGCAGCCAGCUCACCAUGGCAACCUGGGCAGCGGUGGCAGAGCAGGCGUACGCCCUGCCAGCUGGAGGAUAGAGACAGGGAAAGGAGCUGAGGCAGGAGGGGACCUCUGGUUUGAGGGAGCCCUGCACAUUUAUGGGGGAGGACCUGUGGGGAAACUGUGGUAGGUGUCCCUGCUUGCUGCCAACUUCCACAGAGAAAGAAGAGCAGCAACUUCAGGGACACCCCCCAACUGCACACUCCCAGGACACAGAAGUGGGGACAUCCCAUUGACCUCAUCAAGCUGUCCUUCCCAAUGACCCCUUCAACUCACCUUGCAGCCCUCACAGGCGCUGACCCCAUAGUGGUAGCCUGAGGACUUGUCCUGACAGACAAAGCAAGGCUUGUAGAUGCGGGGUAGAGGGGGUGGCGAGGGAGGGCUGGGCACUAUCUCUUCAGAACUGCUGCUCUGGGUCUCAAUGGCUAGAGAGAGAAGAGGGGAGGGGCAGUUAGAGACCUAGGUCGCCAUCCUUAGUACCAAGCUCCACCCUGCCUCACCGUCCCUCCUAAGAGCCUCUCCCAGCCUCACCACUGCUGGCAGGAUUCAAGUCUUAAGAAAACUGGGACUCCCCAGCCAGACUCAGGGCAGGAGGCUGCCAAUGAAGCCUCCAGCACCCCAUCACUCCUCUGGACUCCUAGGACCCCCACCUUCAAAACCACAAAGAUACAAUGAUAAACCAUCACAUUUGU